CCAGCCUCCUGUAAUCCAUAGGUUUUCUUCCGGGAAGCUCGGACGCGCUACAGGAAUGCUUGCAAGAGUGACCAUUGUUUUUAUCCGUGACUGAGGAAGAAUAACAAGAGAGCGGCCGUCAGAGGCAGAAAACGAAGGUGCAGGGAGGGGGCCAGCUGCUGCAGCCAUGGCCGCGAAGGAGAUCACCGUUUUCGGCUUCGCAAGUGUGAACAAGGACAUCACAGAAAGUAUCAGGAAGAUCAUUGAGAAAUCUUCCAUCAAAUUUAUUUGCGGAAUUAAGCUCGACACCAAGAGUGGUAAAACAGAAGACCGAAUCCUGGUGCUGGCGACAUGGCGUCUCUACUUUCUAGCGCCCAAGAUUCCUGCCAAGGUUGAAUCCACUUUUAACUUCUUGGAAAUCCGAGCUUUGAAUUCACACCCGGAUCACCAGGUCAUUAUCGACACUGACAAGUCCACCUGUUGCCUGAGGUUUGAGUCACGUGAUCACCUCAACCAUGUCGUCAGCCACAUCAACUACGCACUGUCGCGGAUAUUCAGCAACUCUGUGUUUGCCCCGUCUAUCUGUCACUCGGACAGUGAUCUCUCCGAUGGCAGCAGAAAGUAUUCCCCCAGCUCAGAGACGUCAGUGGAAACCCAGCGGGCGUGCGGAGGCUUUUCAGAAACCUAUGCCGCGCUGUGCGACUAUAAUGGCAUCAGCUGCAAGGAGGAAGUGCAGUGGGACGUGGACACCAUUUACCACUCCCAGGACAAUCGUGAGUUUAACCUGCUAGAUUUCAGCCACUUGGAAAGCAGGGAUCUGGCGGUUAUUGUCGCGUCGGUAGCGUACAACACGUGGUUCACUAAGCUCUACUGCAAAGACCUGCGCUUGGGAUCAGAGGUGACAGAGCAGGUCCUGCACACGGUCAGCAAAUCAUCCAGCUUGGAGGAGAUCACGCUGGAGAAUGCUGGGUUGAAAUCAGACUUCCCACAGAAGAUGUCGGUCGCUCUCUCAGAGAAUCCCGCCGCUGUCAUCCACUCACUCAACCUGGCCCACAACUCUCUGGACAACCAAGGCGUCGCCAACCUAAUCCAGCAGAUGUGUCGUCUCAGCAAGGGUCUGCGACAUCUCAACCUCUCCAAGACUUCUCUCACCUCCAAAGGUGUGGUAUCACUUUCAAUGGCACUGAACUCUAGUGACGAGUACUCCAACUCGCUCCUGCACCUAGACCUGAGCAAGAACCCCGGUGUCCUGUCUGGCGAUGACGCCUCGAGCUUCUAUCUCUUCUUGUCUCAGCCCAACUGCCUGGUGCAUUUGGACCUAUCGGGCACAGAUUGCUCUGUGGACUCACUAUUUGGUGCUCUGCUGAGGGGCUGUUGCGCAGACCUCUCCUUUCUGAAUCUUUCCAAAAAUUCCUUCUCCCACAGAAAAGGGAAGGACACGCUACCGUUGUUCCGGCAGUUCUUCAGCUCCGCCUUCAGCCUGACCCACGUCAGCCUGGCUGCCAUGAAACUACCCCCUGAGGUCCUUAGGGCUCUCCUCGCAGGCUUAACCUCUAACCCUCACAUUAACGACCUUCACCUGGACAUCAGUGGCUGUGAGCUUCGAUGUGCAGGAGCUGCCGUCCUUCAAGAGCUCUUCCCCAGAGUCUCUUCCAUCGCUACUCUAGACAUAUCAGACAACGGUUUGGAUGCAGACUUGCUCACGGUGCUGCCCGCCCUCUCCAGACACCCCUCGCUGAAACACCUUCAUCUCGGCAAGAAUUUCAACAUCAAAAACAGGGUUCUUGACGAAGUCCUGCAGAAGUUGGUGCAGCUCAUUCAAGAAGAAGAAUGUGCCCUACAGACACUGUCGCUGACCGACUCACGCCUCCGUUCCCGGGGUACGGUGUUGGUCAACGCCCUAGGGAGCAACACCUGCCUGAGGAAAGUGGACCUCAGCGGCAACAACAUGGACGACAUUGGAGCCAAGAUGCUGAGCAAAGCCCUGCAAAUCAACACCACGCUUCGGAGCGUGACAUGGGAUCGCAACAACACCUCCGCAGCAGGAUUUCUCGAUGUGGCCAGAGCACUCGAACAUAAUUUCACCCUGCAGUAUAUGCCUCUACCCCUGAGCGACAUCAGCCAGGCGUACCGCAGCGCCCCUGAGAGGACCGAGCAGGCAUUGACCAAGAUCCAACGGGCCCUGGUGAGGAAUAACCAGACUCAGCGCUUCUCCCAGCGUCAGGCUCUAAGGCUGCACCAAGGCCUAGUCACCAGCACGGCUGAGCAGGUAAUGGAGCGUCUGUGCGCACGCGUCCAGCAGCAGGUGUGCAUGCUACGAGGCGUAGGAGAGGCAGAUGACAUUCAAGCUGCCAAACAAGUACUGAAGGAGGCUCGAAAUUCCCGCGCGCUUUAUCCCUCCCUGUGCGAACUGGCCCACGUGCUCUCCGUGGACGGGCCAGUACGCCAGCGUCUGGACUCGCUCGCUGGUGAACUCGCCAAAGCCGCUGACAAAGAGCUUCAGGUGAUCGUCGAUUCAAUGGUGUCCCUCUGCCGCGAACUCUGCCCCCUGUCGUCUACGGCGGCAGAGCAGCUGACGCCACCGCUCUCGUCUGUCUCCGAGCAUGUGUCCGUUCCUCGCACCGCCAUUCGCUCUGCUCUGAUGGAAAGAGCAGCGCAAGACGUCCAUCGUGCCUUAGAAGAGGUCAAACUGUCUGUGGUCUCCUAUCUCACCAACUCUAUCGUGGACCAAAUCCUUCAGGAGCUCUACACCACCCACAAGACGCUGACCCGGCAGGUGUCUCAUCUAAAACGCUGGGAUGGGUCUUGCGAAGAUGGUACAGGCUGGAGGUUCAACCGACACCGGGACUCUCUAGAUAUCACUGAGGAGGAGCUCGGCACCUGUAUAGAUACAAUAGCCAUUAAGAAGCGCAGUUCAAGAACAAGACGAAUACGACCUGUCUCCACCAGGCUGAGUCUCUGCGACGACUCCAGCUCCUCACCGCCCCCAUCCAUCCCUUCCUACUCCACACCUCUGUCGCGCUCGGUCUCCUGGGAGGGUCUGUCUGAGUUACCCACACAGGGUCUGCCCCUCCACCACGUCACCAGGGUCCGCCCGAGACCUCCGCGCAGGCACAGAGGAGGAUAUCAACCAGCAGAGACACAGUGUAGUGAAAAUGGAGGAAUAAGCCCUCUGGAUGAUGGACUGCCAGAUUUCUAUACUAAAAGAGUCCUUCCCGAUAGUCAGCUCUCCUCCCUGCACACCACUCACUCACUGAGGAGGAAGAAGCGGAGAAAUGUACUGGCCAUCUUUGGGUUCCGCAGAAACCGCAACCAGACGCUGUCCAACCAGGAGUCGGACGCUGAAUUUUAUGGCGAUCAUGCUGUUGCUACAGCACCCUCGGGGAUAGCCACAGAGAACGUGUACACGCUCCUCCAACCUCCGAGGUCUGCUGCUAGGGUGGAGUCUCCUGGGGACGGACCAGAUGGAAAGAACACUCUGGUUCUGAGUCCCCCGCCGCCAGUGCCAGGCAUUCCUCAUUCAGGCAUUGGAGGAAACAAGCACCCCUUUUACUCACCCACUGAGGACAUGGUGCCCGCCGAGCAUCAGCCUACGGAGGCCGACAAGUACUGGGCAGAUGACAAGCAGAGGACCAGUGAGGUGUUGCUAGCCGAGGAUAUGUGGAUAGAAGGUAGGCCGGGCGAGCGCCACGUUGAGAGACGGCGCUCAGACGAGAAGCUGGGAGAAGCCUGGACCACUGAUAGACAAAUGGACAGACAGUGGACCGCUGAGAGACACACACAGUGGCAGAUCGACAGGAAGAUGGAGAGACAGCGGUUGGGCGGCAGACAGAUAGACCGCUCGUGGUCAGAGAGUAAGCAGACGGACUUACAGCUGGACUCCCAGUGGACGGACAGGACCACGUGGAAGACAGAUAGACAAGUCCAGGGUCUUUAUUUCGGGCAAAGGCCGUUGCCGCCUUACCCUUUGGACAGGACGCCCUCGCCCAAACAGGAAAUGAGCAUGGAAGCGGACACACAAGGGGAAAGACGUGUCAGUCCAGAUGCUUGCAUAGAAGGGUGGAGGAGUGGUUAUGCCGGACGUCCGGGCUCCUGCGUGGCGAAACCCGAGCCUCCGCCGCAAAGUAGCAAACCUAACUUGUCCAAACUGAGGCAAAGGCAUCGACUGGAAAGCUCGGAAACGCUGCCUGAGGAAGAUGACAAUGGCGAAAGGAUGGAAAAGAAAGAUCGGGAGAAAAGAAGAGAUCUGGAGUCUCAACCUCCACCAAUUCCUGAAAAGCCGAGGACAACGUCGUACGUGAGUUUCCCGAAAGAACCGCCUCCGGAGAGAAGUCUGCCCCCUCCACCCUUGCCCCCUCCCUUCAGCAGGCACGGGCUGCCAGACAGAGCCGCCAGUCAAGGCGAUGAAGGAUCGAGGCCUCAAGCACCCAUAAAGCCCCAAAGGAACCGGAAAGCCAUGUCUUGUGACGCAGGCACGGACAGGGACAGCCCCAAUAGCAUUGAGAAGCUCCCAAAUCGCAAACCCCCUGAGAAAAAGCCUAGGCUGCCCCAAAACAGAAAUAAGUCGUUGGACUUGUCUGACAGCUUCAACGCAGUACCUGGUCACAGCGAGUUGGUGUGAGGAUGUCCCAGAAGGGCGGAUAACACACACAUAUGUUUCACUCUUUGAACAUUGCUCCCCUCAUACCCUUAUCAUCAGCCCUCAUCUUACUCGUGGCUUGUAAAAUGUUUUUUUAGUAAUAUUAUUAGAAUGUGAUUUCUACAACUGGAGUGCCCGCUGACACAACCGACUGCCUUGAACAUGACUUGCUUCUUGGGGAUUUAUAUCUGAAAGUUGUAUCCAUUCAUCCAGCAAGUGGAACAUCAGCAACAUGGCUGUUUCAUCUAUCAAAGGUGCAUCCUGGAGUUGAGAAUCAAAGCACCGUACACCGGAACUGCGUUCCGGCCCUAAAUCUUAAACUGGAACUGCGUUCCUGACCGUUCCCGCCCACUUUCACCCCUGCAUAUGACCUUACUUUGGUAAACUUUAACAUUAGUGAGAACUGACUUGAUCUUCCGGUUGAGGCAGAAGAAACAGCUCAAUGUCCUUUGAAAUUUAACAAAAAUGGUGGCUUAUUUCUUCAAUUUGUAUUCAAUUUUUAAUAGGUGUAUGGUUUUGUAAUGUAGAAAGUAAUACUGUUCAAAUAAAUCUUGCAUAUUGUGUUGUCGAGAUCAAGCUAGCUAGCACCUUAAUGCUGCACAUAAAACAACAACGGCAUGUCCUUUUUACCCUAGACUCUGUUACUUUAAAGUGCAAAUUGCCCCAUUAUCGGUCAUUAGUCAACAAGCAUUAACAGCAAAGAGGCGCUAAACGUCCAUUUUGUGUCUAAUGACUCAACCUCUCACACGCGUGUACUGAAGAAAGCGCGGUGCUUUGAUUUUCGCCACCACAGGUGGAUGCUAUUAAUACGGCUCAGAACUAAUGUCAAUCCUCCCACCCCUUUAUGCGUUGGCAUAGCAACGACAUUUCCCGCCACAAACCCGGGAAUAUGGAACAGUAGGGGGCGACUAAUCGCUACAAAUAGACAGAGGCAGGCACUGGACACACAUACACACACAACUGCAGCCUUCCAGGUUGUCAUUAGCAACCGUUGCCCUGACCUUCUCUCCAUUUCUGCUGUAAUGAGUCAGAAACAAGCCUGAAAACACAGACAGAAACAUAAAGCCCGUUUAAAGUCAUAGUUGCAAUUUGACUUUACACAUCAUGUCCAAUCAUGUCACGACAAAGUAGAUUUUUACACUUUGAUUAGGGUUACAAAUGAGUUUUCAAAAUUAGGUUUCCCCGAUACAGUUAGGGUUUUUAUCAUUUCAGUGACAAUGACGAUGACAGCUGUCCAAUCAGAAGCCUGCAAACUGUGGCCCUAAAGCCGCAUGUGGCUCUUUUCGUGCUUCUACUGUGAAAUUAGUUUGACUAUUAGACGUGAACAAAUAGUCACUACCAACCCUCCCAGUACAAAUGGAUUGGACAUCUACAGGGUGUCCAUAAAGUC